AAGGCAUGAUGAUGUCACUUUCUAAGCAUCUCCUUGAAUCUCUCCUAACUCUCAUAAAUAGAUUCUCCUUCUAACUGAGUAAAAGAAGUUAUGUCAUUUCUAAGCUU